UCAGCGAUGAAGGCGAGGACUGUGACCUAUGGUCAGGCAGACUUUCCUGAAACGGCCUUGGAAUGUCGGCUGGGCGCCUGCCGCGACUCCGAUUGCUUCUCUCAGAAGUUGCUCUCGAGAGAAAAUCAGGGUUCCAAGGAAGGCGAAUUCCAGAAUGCUCCCGUUGUAUGUCUUUGCAGUGGAGCAAGUGGAAAGCCAGGACACUGAGGCAGACAUGAAAACACAGCUAAAGACCCUCAGAAGAGGACAGAAGAGGACAGAAGAGGACUUCUAGGGCUGCUUCAGCAUGUGGCAAGAACGGAGGAAUACAUGUUUUUGAAGGGAGGACUUUUUGAGGGGAAUUAAUGACAAUACACCUUUUACUGUAAUAUUACAGUAUUUUAAAAUGUAAACACCCACCUCAUCUUUUAACCAUGCCCAGUGUAGUAUUUGUCUUUUUGUGACAGGCUGAAUUCACUCAGCAUAUGUCCUCCGGGUCUAUCCAGGCUGUAGCCUGGGUCUGAGUUCCCUCCUGUCAGGUUGAGUAAUAUUCCUUGUAUGCAUAUCACACUUUGUUUGUCCACUCAUCUGGGAAUAGAUGCUUGGGUUGUUUCCACCAUUUGGUUAUUGUAGCUAAUUCUGCCACGAACACAAGUGUAAAUACUUCUUUAAUGAACAGACAAUUAUUCAUCUUCUUUUUACAGAGAGAGAAACAGAGGCUCCUAGAUAUUAAGUAAUUUCUCCUGGUUCAUCAAAUAACAUGUGAGAAUCAAUCUGUGCAGCUUCAGAGACAUGCUUCCUAACUGUCAC
rnacentral:lncRNA from 1 species